CAUGAGAUUCAACCAUGAGUUUUUGAUGUGUCUUCACCAUUUUUCAUUCAACUCCUUAAUUCAUCAAACCUACUUACCUAAAACUAGACUAGCUAAUCCUAAUCACCAAUGUAUUAGCUCAAAUCUCCUACACUUGUCUCUGCAAACAAGCUGACUUGUAGCCUCAAUGGAGCACCCAAGCUCCUAUAAAUAGCUGAUAAUUCAUCCCCAAAUGCAAAACAAAUCAGAAUAAUCAUCAAUUGUAAUUUCCAUCAUUGAAAUCCAUCAAAUUUCUCACCUUCGAACCACCACCCCCCUUCGUCGUUCCCUCUCCUCCGCGCCCAACUGUCACCUUCGACGCUGAUUUUUGGUGUGGACCACCCAGCUCCGAUCCUGCACUAGUUACCGUCAAACGGUCUAGCAAGUUCAAUUUCCCCUGCUUUUCUUACGAACUCCAAGUCUACGGCGCUACUCCUGUUCUUCAUAACCUGCUUUGAUCCCGACCCUCGGAGCUCAGAAAGGACAAUAAUCAAGGCUACAGAAAAAGUCUAGCCAAUCACGAAUUGAGGUGCCGACCGGGACGACGGAUGCGAUUAGUGGCAAGGAUUUCGUCUUAUUAGGGCUCACCUAGUUUAAGCUUAAUUUGUACUAAGUUCAAGUAAGAAUAUUCUACUAAGUUAUGUAAGUAACUUUUGAAUAUUAAUAUAGAACAUGGUUAUACUAGUUUUAUAA